AGUGAACGCUGGCGGUAGGCCUAACACAUGCAAGUCGAACGGCAGCACAGUAAGAGCUUGCUCUUAUGGGUGGCGAGUGGCGGACGGGUGAGGAAUACAUCGGAAUCUACUUUUUCGUGGGGGAUAACGUAGGGAAACUUACGCUAAUACCGCAUACGACCUACGGGUGAAAGCAGGGGAUCUUCGGACCUUGCGUGAUUGAAUGAGCCGAUGUCGGAUUAGCUAGUUGGCGGGGUAAAGGCCCACCAAGGCGACGAUCCGUAGCUGGUCUGAGAGGAUGAUCAGCCACACUGGAACUGAGACACGGUCCAGACUCCUACGGGAGGCAGCAGUGGGGAAUAUUGGACAAUGGGCGCAAGCCUGAUCCAGCCAUACCGCGUGGGUGAAGAAGGCCUUCGGGUUGUAAAGCCCUUUUGUUGGGAAAGAAAAGCAGCAGGUUAAUACCCCGCUGUUCUGACGGUACCCAAAGAAUAAGCACCGGCUAACUUCGUG
rnacentral:rRNA from 1 species